GGGCUAGACUUGGUUUCGACUGGAGUAGUUCGGUAUUAAUAGCAUGUACGACUGAGCCUCGUUAAAAAGCUCAAAUUUUUUAGACGCAAAUAAUAAUAAUUAUUCUCCUGCUUACGCAAAAAUAGCGUAAGUUUAACUUAUAAGGAGCCUUCGUUCACUCAUAGUUGUCUUGAGUGUUUAUAGAGGGUCAUAGUCAGACAACUUAUCUUUUGAGAAUUGAUCUGAAUCAAAAGAGACAUUCAAGAUCUAAGCUUUUUUAUAGCUUUCCGGGAGUUGUGCUGUAGAAGAGUGAAUUUUACAACUCUGCUAAACAUGUAGAAGUUAAUAUUAGACUAUUUUAGGACUCGGGUUCAAUUCCCGACUAGUCCACCA
rnacentral:tmRNA from 1 species